AUGCAAGUCGAACGGCAGCACGGGGGCAACCCUGGUGGCGAGUGGCGAACGGGUGAGUAAUAUAUCGGAACGUACCCUGGAGUGGGGGAUAACGCAGCGAAAGUUGCGCUAAUACCGCAUACGAUCUACGGAUGAAAGUGGGGGAUCCGCAAGGACCUCAUGCUCGUGGAGCGGCCGAUAUCUGAUUAGCUAGUUGGUGGGGUAAAGGCCUACCAAGGCAUCGAUCAGUAGCUGGUCUGAGAGGACGACCAGCCACACUGGAACUGAGACACGGUCCAGACUCCUACGGGAGGCAGCAGUGGGGAAUUUUGGACAAUGGGGGCAACCCUGAUCCAGCAAUGCCGCGUGAGUGAAGAAGGCCUUCGGGUUGUAAAGCUCUUUUGUCGGGGAAGAAACGGAUUGGUUUAAUACACUGAUCUAAUGACGGUACCCGAAGAAUAAGCACCGGCUAACUACGUGCCAGCAGCCGCGGUAAUACGUAGGGUGCAAGCGUUAAUCGGAAUUACUGGGCGUAAAGCGUGCGCAGGCGGUUAUGUAAGACAGAUGUGAAAUGCCCGGGCUUAACCUGGGAACUGCAUUUGUGACUGCAUGGCUAGAGUGUGUCAGAGGGGGGUAGAAUUCCACGUGUAGCAGUGAAAUGCGUAGAUAUGUGGAGGAAUACCGAUGGCGAAGGCAGCCCCCUGGGAUAACACUGACGCUCAUGCACGAA
rnacentral:rRNA from 1 species